rnacentral:rRNA from 1 species
UACGAAGGAUGCAAGCGUUAUCCGGAAUUAUUGGGUUUAAAGGGUGCGUAGGCGGACUAAUAAGUCAGUGGUGAAAGCCUGCAGCUUAACUGCAGAAUUGCCAUUGAUACUGUUAGUCUUGAGUACAGUUGAGGUAGGCGGAAUGUGUCAUGUAGCGGUGAAAUGCUUAGAUAUGACACAGAACACCGAUUGCGAAGGCAGCUUGCUAAGCUGUAACUGACGCUGAGGCACGAAAGCGUGGGGAGCAAACAGG